UUCUAAGUUUGACAUUUAUGCUACGGUAUUUGUUAGCUCCUCUCCAAGUCUAGUGAGUCACUGUUCUGCGAUCAAACGCAUAUUUUAUUAUUUCUCUCCUCCAGUUAACUCUUUCCCUCGUUUAUUUUCUUUCUUCAUCCCGAAACCUAUCCAUUUCCUCUUUCUCCAGAAACCAUUUUCUCUUCUUCAACCUAGGCAAUCCACUUUCUUUCCAUCGAUCUUUUCUUCUUCAACCCACAAGCAUCCCCUUCUCUCCGUCUCGCUCUUCUUCAGCCCUAUUCUCGCAUGCCUGCCUCGCUCUUCUUCAACUCGCAAGACUCCCCUUCUCUCCAGUGGUCGUCUUCGUUGCAUUCGUCUAGUUUUUCUCAAAGGCAAAUUGAUUCUCCCUUUGUUGUCUCCAACACAGAAGAUUUAAAGUUCCAGUCCCCCUCUCAACCAUUAUAGUAAACGUUUUUCGUGCUAUCGAUAUAUACAAUCGUUUUUCACUCUCAUUUUUGGAUGAAUACAAAUUGUGUAAUUGUUUUGGACAUUUUUUAUUUUUGGAGCUUCGCUUUUUAAGUUUUGGUUGGUGGAAGAAUUCAACUUGUUGCAGUUGAUUGAUUUAUUUCUAUACAUCAUGCCCUCCUCUCUGUUUUGCUUGUUGUUCUGUAUUUUAAUUUUUUCAGUUUUCAUUGACUUUGGCUAUAUUCAAUUAUGAUUUUAAGCUAUGAUUUCAAAGCUUAAA